GACGAACGCUGGCGGCGUGCCUAACACAUGCAAGUCGAGCGAGUGAAUCUCCUUCGGGAGUGAAGCUAGCGGCGGACGGGUGAGUAACACGUGGGCAACCUGCCUCAUAGAGGGGAAUAGCCUUCCGAAAGGAAGAUUAAUACCGCAUAAGAUUGUAGCUUCGCAUGAAGUAGCAAUUAAAGGAGCAAUCCGCUAUGAGAUGGGCCCGCGGCGCAUUAGCUAGUUGGUGAGGUAACGGCUCACCAAGGCGACGAUGCGUAGCCGACCUGAGAGGGUGAUCGGCCGCAUUGGGACUGAGACACGGCCCAGACUCCUACGGGAGGCAGCAGUGGGGAAUAUUGCACAAUGGGGGAAACCCUGAAGCAGCAACGCCGCGUGAGUGAUGACGGCCUUCGGGUUGUAAAGCUCUGUCUUCAGGGACGAUAAUGACGGUACCUGAGGAGGAAGCCACGGCUAACUACGUGCCAGCCGCCGCCGUAA
rnacentral:rRNA from 1 species